AUGUGGGAUCCGUUCUGGCCUCUGCCUGUCCCCGUUCUCUGGAGCAGCGCAAAGCCUGCAUCAGCUCAUUUCCUCCCCCCGUUCCUUUACCCCGGAGCAUCCCUCGGGGACGAAAAUCCCCCGCAAGACCGUGUGCCCGGGUGCAGCCGGGGGCGUGCAGGAGAUGCCAGGGUGCCCGGAGCCCGGGGAGCCCGGGGAGCCCCGCGGCUGCGGCGGCCGGUGCGCCGGGCCGGCACUAGGUGGGGAUGGCACCACGCCGCGGGGAGGAGGAAGGGGAGGGCAAAUGCAGAGCUUGGGCAAUGCCCUGACCAAGGUGGUCAGCACAAUGCAUCCUCCCUCUUGAUGUUCUCUCCCUGUUCACACCAGUUACAACCAGUCAGACCCUGUCUGUCCUCCCUUGGCUUUUCCGAGUGUGUUUGGUGCCUCAGCCUCUUGUCAAAACCCAGAUUCAUCACAGCACAGCUAUUAGCUGCUCCCUCCCAUGUGAGAUGUCUUUCUGCUGACACGGCAAUCAUUCUGCUGUCAACGUGCCUUGACAAUACCAGGAUUUCUCAUUUCAAGUCCUGGUGUGUCCCAGGGUGAUUCCCAGCUCCUCCAUUAACCCCUGGCCCUGCAGGAUGGGGAUAGUCUGCCCUGAUGGAUGCUCUGCUAUCCCUUCCACCUCUGGUUAGCAGAAGCUGCCUCCUGUUUUUCCUCUCAGCACUUGCCAUACCUAUGCAGAAGAGCAUUUAACCUGGAGGUAGAGGGUGUCAGACUUUUAUUCUCCUUUCCUUCUUAUUUUCUGUGCUGAGAACAAUGGAGGCAAGGUUUGCAGAGGGAGGUAAUGUCUUUUUUUAGACUGACUGAAAUAAUUAGAAGAAAAACCAGGCAGGCUGUUGGGUACAUGAGCCCUCCAGCAGGCCUGAAAUAGCUGCAGAAGUCUGCAAAGCUGAAUACCAGUGGAGAACAAUAGCUCUGAGCAUGACUAGUCUUAACCAGUUCUGCUACCAAAGACCAUUCCCCAGCUGUUUUCCUUGGGUGAAUGAGUGGCAUCACCUCUCUGCCAAAAUCCACUGUCCAGAGACCACCCCGUGGCCGAGAGCCACCGCUGUGGCCGGGGGAGCCACGUGGCUACAGGGACCUGAGCCCUGGCCAUUGCUCCGUGCUGGCUCCAUGGAGCAUCCCUCACCUCUCGACACCCUGCACCUUGUCCUACUGCUCCUGGGGCCUGAGCUGACCCCAGCCCCAGGGACACUGCGCCACCCUGGACCUGCCUCACCCCCGGGACCCUGCCUGACCCUGAGGGCUCUGAUUUCAGACAUUGUUUUACUACAGGGGUCUGGCCUGAUCUCAUGGGACCCUCUCUGAUCGCAGGAGAUUGUGUGAAACACCAGGGAGCCCCCUGACCUUCAGGGCCUGAUGAUUUCAGGGACUUUUCUACCAGGGAUUCCAGCCUGGUCCCUGGGGACCCUGCCUGACCCCAAGAGCUAUUUCUGACCUGGAAACCCUGCCUAUCCCUGGGAACCCCGACAGACACUGGGGGCCUUCUGAUUUCAGGGAUCCUCCGACAAGGAUCCUCCGAUUUCACAGACAUUGUCCCACCAGAGGGUUCUGCCUGACGCCUGAUGACCCCAUCUGACCCCGGGGAUCUCUCCCACCCCAAGCUCCAUGUCCCUCUCCGGCUCUCCUGCCGUCCCUGGUUAUGCUGGGUCCACGUCCCACCCGCACCGGGUCCCGCUCAUGCCCCUCCCCGGGCGCGGGGCCAGCCGGUCCCGGGGG
rnacentral:lncRNA from 1 species